rnacentral:rRNA from 1 species
UACGUAGGGUGCAAGCGUUAAUCGGAAUUACUGGGCGUAAAGCGUGCGCAGGCGGCUUUGCAAGACAGAUGUGAAAUCCCCGGGCUUAACCUGGGAACUGCAUUUGUGACUGCAUGGCUCGAGUGCGGCAGAGGGGGAUGGAAUUCCGCGUGUAGCAGUGAAAUGGGUAGAUAUGCGGAGGAACACCGAUGGCGAAGGCAAUCCCCUGGGCCUGCACUGACGCUCAUGCACGAAAGCGUGGGGAGCAAACAGG